rnacentral:rRNA from 1 species
AUUGAACGCUGGCGGCAUGCCUUACACAUGCAAGUCGAACGGUAACGGGCCUUCGGGUGCCGACGAGUGGCGAACGGGUGAGUAAUACAUCGGAACGUGCCCGAUCGUGGGGGAUAACGAGGCGAAAGCUUUGCUAAUACCGCAUACGAUCUACGGAUGAAAGCAGGGGACCGCAAGGCCUUGCGCGGACGGAGCGGCCGAUGGCAGAUUAGGUAGUUGGUGGGAUAAAAGCUUACCAAGCCGACGAUCUGUAGCUGGUCUGAGAGGAUGAUCAGCCACACUGGGACUGAGACACGGCCCAGGCUCCUACGGGAGGCAGCAGUGGGGAAUUUUGGACAAUGGGCGCAAGCCUGAUCCAGCCAUGCCGCGUGCAGGAUGAAGGCCUUCGGGUUGUAAACUGCUUUUGUACGGAACGAAAAGCCUUCUUUUAAUACAGGAGGGUCAUGACGGUACCGGAAGAAUAAGCACCGGCUAACUACGUG